UACAGAGGUCUCAAGCGUUGUUCGGAUUCAUUGGGCGUAAAGGGUGCGUAGGCGGCGCGGUAAGUCGGGUGUGAAAUCUCGGGGCUUAACUCCGAAACUGCAUUCGAUACUGCCGUGCUUGAGGACUGGAGAGGAGACUGGAAUUUACGGUGUAGCGGUGAAAUGCGUAGAUAUCGUAAGGAAGACCAGUGGCGAAGGCGGGUCUCUGAACAGUUCCUGACGCUGAGGCACGAAGGUCAGGGGAGCAAACGGG
rnacentral:rRNA from 1 species